GGGCGUGGGCCUGAGUUGGUCUGGUAUCGGACUUGUCAAUCCAGAUGCCGGGGGUUCGAAUCCCCCCAGGUCCA
rnacentral:tRNA from 1 species